UACGGAGGGGACUAGCGUUGUUCGGAAUUACUGGGCGUAAAGCGCACGUAGGCGGCUUUUUAAGUCAGGGGUGAAAUCCCGGAGCUCAACUCCGGAACUGCGCUUGAUACUGGAAAGCUUGAGUCCGGGAGAGGUGAGUGGAACUGCGAGUGUAGAGGUGAAAUUCGUAGAUAUUCGCAAGAACACCAGUGGCGAAGGCGGCUCACUGGCCCGGUACUGACGCUGAGGUGCGAAAGCGUGGGGAGCAAACAGG
rnacentral:rRNA from 1 species